rnacentral:lncRNA from 1 species
AAAAAUCCUACAAAUACAGACACCUUAAACAAAGGCUACACAAGUUCUCACAAACGAAUGCAUGGUGUCUCUCACACCAAAUUCAUUGUCCUCUUUAAACUCUUAACCAUCCCCAGGUUUGUUCACUUCAAACAAAGUGCUUUUCUUGAUUGUCCUUUUAUAACCAACAAUUGUUAGCAAAAAUAGUUUGAUAUUUGAUCUUUUGUUAUGUAUUUUAUUGAACAUGUUCUAGGUAUUUGAGGUAUCGGAGGUGAGCUUCGUUGAAAAGGAUGAGAUUAUGAUGGUGAGUUAAGUUUGGAGAAAGUUUGUUACUUGAUCUUGAAGCUUCGAGAAUGACCUUUGAAGGAACGUUCAAUGAUAGGAUGAAAGAGUAUUGCAAAAGAUAUUAAGUUUGAAGUUUAAACAAAAAAAAAUUAGUUGUUUUUAUUAAUUUAAUGAUACGCACGUGUUAUCUAAAAUUAUAUAUAUUUGUAUUUAUAUUUUAUCAGUUUAUGUUGUUGUGCAUGUUCCUCAAUUACAAUAUAAAGAUAGACAUGAAUUGAGAUGAAUAUGAAUAUGAACUCCACACUGAUAAAAGUGAUAUAUGUACACUUCAAAAGUCUGAGAUCAUGAUUGAGGAACAAGUCGUUAUUUAGAGAGAAGAUUGGGUUUUAUUUGUCCAUGAACUCUAAACUUAAAAUAAUUCUUAACUUAAAAGAAAAAUUAAUUAUUCUUGUACUAUUAAAAUAGGUCUCUAAUUAUUUUUCUUUUCUUAUUUAUUUGUUGAAUGCACUCUUUGAUUUUGUAACAGGUGCUUUGUGUUGGCCAUAUCGAAUCCAGGCAUUAAGAAUUAGUACAUUAGAUGAUACAGUUUAUCAGCCUUGGUUAAAGUACUCACAAUAUUAUCGUGCAUUUUCUCAUCUUCAUGGAUGAAUUUUCCCAUCAUCCCUUACAUUAUGUAGACGAUUAUUUGGGCUGCAUUGGACGAUAUUGUUGGCACGCGUUGCGUAACCUCGAG